rnacentral:rRNA from 1 species
UACGGAGGGUGCAAGCGUUGCUCGGAAUUAUUGGGCGUAAAGGGUAGGUAGGUGGUCUCAUUUGUCUGGGGUGAAAGCCUUGAGCUUAACUCAAGAAGUGCCCCAGAAACGGUGAGACUGGAGUCCUGGAGAGGGUCGUGGAAUUCCCGGUGUAACGGUGAAAUGCGUAGAGAUCGGGAGGAACAUCAGUGGCGAAGGCGGCCCUCUGGUCCAGUACUGACACUCAAGUGCGAAAAGCGUGGGGAGCAAACAGG